rnacentral:lncRNA from 1 species
UAGCUGGGCUUGGGGCGGGGCCGAGACGGAGCGAGGGGUCCAGGGUGUGGGAAACGGGGAGGGGUUUGAGGAGGGGAUCGGAAUGUGGCUCAAGUUCGGGAGGCGUUACCUGCGGAGGGUUUGAGGCAGGCCCAGGAGCGAGCCCAUGGUCUUCCGACGCGGGGCCAGGGGCGGGGCCCAGGAUCCGGAGCUUCGUGCGGGGCCGAGUCCAGGUUUGGGGCCCGGGAGGCGGGGCCAGUUAGGGCGAGGGUCCCUGGGAUCGUCGGGUCAGGCCUUGGGCUAACGUAGGCACUCUCGCAGUUCCUCCGCCUUCAGGAAGGUCUUUUCAGCAGGGGCCUUACGGGUGCAUGCUUCGGUCCUGGAGGCCUUAUCCUAGCCUCCUCUCCAUCAGCGCCACCCGUCUGGGGCCCGAAAGGAGGGAGCUUUCCCUCUGUCCCCCAGCCUUUGGACUGUCACUAAACAAGCCAUUCGUUCAUCAAAUACUUUUUAAGCGCCUACCAUGUGCCUGACAAGGGAGAUGUAACGGUGAGAAAAACUAGGUGUGGUCCAGGCCCUUCAGGGGCUCAGGUGCUCGUGGAAGAAGUGGACAUUGAAGUACUUAUCACACAAAUGAGGAUAAAAGUACGAUAACGAUAUCUACCACGAAGCUGUUGUUCCCCACCAGAACCAAAUGAGCGCAAGAUCUGACAAAGAAAAAAAAAGGUUCAUCUUUUAUUCCUCCAAACACUUUCAUUUAAAUCAAGAGGAUGGGAUGUGGUUAUUGCUGUGUUUUUAGACAGAAUCAACGGUUUCUGGGUCUGAGAUGUUGCAUACACCUUCUCAGUCCCUGUAUCCUGAGAUGGAGUCACCUGAGAAUCCACAGCAAGUCCUAACCAGGGAUGGGUCUGGGUGAUUAAGGAAGGUUGGCUUCAGAACUGGGCCAGGGGCACUGCUUUGCUUUUGCUGUUUUGAUCAGCUCUCUGCCUGAAGGAGACAAGAAAAACCAACGGGAACAGAUAGGGUCUCUCUCUCUGCCACCCAGGCCAGAGUGCAGUUGACGCAGGGCAGGGGAGCCCCGAAGUGGAGCAUAGUGUGUCCGGAACUGGUGGGUUCUUGGUCUCACUGACUUCAAGAAAGAAGCCGCGGACCCUCGCGAGACGGGGUCUUGCUCUGUUGCUCAAGCUGGA